rnacentral:rRNA from 1 species
CCUACGGGUGGCAGCAGUGGGGGAUAUUGGACAAUGGGGGGAACCCUGAUCCAGCGACGCCGCGUGAGUGAAGAAGUAUCUCGGUAUGUAAAGCUCUAUCAGCAGGGAAGAAGAAAUGACGGUACCUGAGUAAGAAGCCCCGGCUAACUACGUGCCAGCAGCCGCGGUAAUACGUAGGGUGCGAGCGUUAACCGGAUUUACUGGGCGUAAAGCGCUCGUAGGCGGUAUGUCAAGUCAGGGGUGAAAUCCCCGCGCUCAACGUGGGAACUGCCUUUGAAACUGGCAAACUGGAGUGUGUGAGAGGCUGGUGGAAUUCCAAGUGUAGGAGUGAAAUGCGUAGAUAUCUGGAGGAACAGCAGUGGCGAAGGCGACUAUCUGGCACAUAACUGACGCUGAGGAGCGAAAGCGUGGGUAGCAAACAGGAUUAGAUACCCUGGUAGUC